rnacentral:rRNA from 1 species
GAUGAACGCUGGCGGCGUGCCUAAUACAUGCAAGUCGAGCGAACGGACGAGAAGCUUGCUUCUCUGAUGUUAGCGGCGGACGGGUGAGUAACACGUGGAUAACCUACCUAUAAGACUGGGAUAACUUCGGGAAACCGGAGCUAAUACCGGAUAAUAUUUUGAACCGCAUGGUUCAAAAGUGAAAGACGGUCUUGCUGUCACUUAUAGAUGGAUCCGCGCUGCAUUAGCUAGUUGGUAAGGUAACGGCUUACCAAGGCAACGAUGCAUAGCCGACCUGAGAGGGUGAUCGGCCACACUGGAACUGAGGCACGGUCCAGACUCCUACGGGAGGCAGCAGUAGGGAAUCUUCCGCAAUGGGCGAAAGCCUGACGGAGCAACGCCGCGUGAGUGAUGAAGGUCUUCGGAUCGUAAAACUCUGUUAUUAGGGAAGAACAUAUGUGUAAGUAACUGUGCACAUCCUGACGGUACCUAAUCAGAAAGCCACGGCUAACUACGUG